rnacentral:rRNA from 1 species
UACGGGGGGGGCAAGCGUUGUUCGGAAUUACUGGGCGUAAAGGGCUCGUAGGUGGCCAACUAAGUCAGACGUGAAAUCCCUCGGCUUAACCUGGGAACUGCGUCUGAUACUGGACGGCUUGAGUAUGGGAGAGGGAUGUAGAAUUCCAGGUGUAGCGGUGAAAUGCGUAGAUAUCUGGAGGAAUACCGGUGGCGAAGGCGGCAUCCUGGACCAUUACUGACGCUGAGGCGCGAAAGCUAGGGGAGCGAACAGG